rnacentral:rRNA from 1 species
CUGGCUCAGGAUGAACGCUGGCGGCGUGCUUAACACAUGCAAGUCGAACGAAGCAGCUUCUGCUUGCAAGAAAGCUGACUUAGUGGCGGACGGGUGAGUAACGCGUGGGUAACCUGCCUCAUACAGGGGGAUAACAGUUGGAAACGACUGCUAAGACCGCAUAACCCGCUAGUGUCGCAUGACACGGACGGAAAAUAUUUAUAGGUAUGAGAUGGGCCCGCGUCUGAUUAGCUAGUUGGUAAGGUAACGGCUUACCAAGGCGACGAUCAGUAGCCGACUUGAGAGAGUGAUCGGCCACAUUGGGACUGAGACACGGCCCAAACUCCUACGGGAGGCAGCAGUGGGGAAUAUUGGACAAUGGGGGAAACCCUGAUCCCAGCGACGCCGCGUGAGUGAAGAAGUAUUUCGGUAUGUAAAGCUCUAUCAGCAGGGAAGAUAAUGACAGUACCUGACUAAGAAGCCCCGGCUAACUACGUGCCAGCCGCCGC